AAAAAAUAAAAUAAAAUUCCAAAGGAGCCAAAAAACGUCCAUUAUUGACACCUUGUGUGUUUGUUUGUUCUGAUGUUUUGUUCACUUUGAAUCUUUGAUUGAGUAAGAACUGUUGGAUAAGAGGCCUGGACGAGAAGAGAGAGUGAGUUUUUUGUUGACCGAGCACAGUAGCCGGCCACUGCCGUCUCGCAAUAUGUUAAUCAUUUUGUAAGAAAUAUUUAAUUAUUUGAAUGCGCGUUGAACGAUUAACCCAACAAUACACCCACAAAAGCCUGCUUCUUCUGUUUCUGUACUUUCUUGGUAAUUAACCCUCUUUCUUCUCAAUCGUUGCACAACAUAUUCUGUAUUUAUUCAUCUCUUGUUUUUUUUUCAAAAUUUCCGUACUUGUUACAGUACUAGUCUAUUUGUUAUCCAUAGCACCGAGCCCAAAGCUUUAGUUUUUCUGGGUUUUUCUCACUUUCUUAUUUUUCAUCAAAGAAUUGGAGAUUCUUCUGCAAAUUCGUAUUUUGAAUUGAAUUUGGGGAUUUGGGUAUUGGGUAAAUUUGAACGUGUCAAAAGUAGCAAUUUUUUGGGGUUUUCUGAGUGUUGUAUAUUGGGUGAAUGUUGAAUGUUCGUGAGGUGAAGUAGGUAAAGGGUGAAUUAUGAGUUCUUUGGAAGGUGAAUUAUGGAUAGUUGAUUCUUUGGUUUAGAUUGUUUGUGAUGGAGUUAGGUAAAGGACGAGGUUUUGUGAAGGUUUGGAUUGGUUUUGGGUGGUGAAGUUUGCUUGUGAAGGAGGGUUUUGUGUUUGUUUCUAGUUCAACAUGGGUUUAAUAUGUACCAAGGCUUCGGCCGUCGAAGAUAGCCGGGAAAGCCCACCAAAAAGGGCAGCUUCGAAAUCAAGUAGGCACCACUCUGAGCUGAAGGUUUCGCGGUUCAAUUCUUCGAAAAGAGAGGAGCCAGUUUGGACUAAAGAUAGAUUGGGUGGUGGUGGUGAUGUCAAAAUUAUGUUGGUGGAUAAGAAAGUCAAUGGUUCAAUCCGAUCAUAUGAUCAGACUAAGAGUAAGAAGAUGGACAAGGCUGAGGUUGCUCUUCUUGAUCAUCCGGGUUCGAGAAGAAUUCCCAACGCCACAGUGGCCGAGCAAUUAGCGGCAGGAUGGCCAGGUUGGCUCGCUGCAGCUGCCCCUGAAGCUAUCAAUGGAUGGAUACCACAACGCGCUGACACGUUCGAGAAGUUAAAUAAAAUUGGCCAAGGAACUUAUAGUAGUGUUUACAAGGCUCGCGAUGUCAUGAAGGAUAAAUUUGUUGCUCUCAAAAAAGUCAGAUUUGAUAAUCUCGAUUCUGAGAGUGUCAAGUUUAUGGCAAGAGAAAUUCUUUUCUUGCGCAGGCUUGAUCACCCUAAUAUAAUAAAGUUGCAAGGAUUGAUCACAGCACGGUCAUCUAGCAGUUUGUACCUUAUUUUUGAGUAUAUGGAACAUGAUCUUACAGGGCUUGCAUCACGCCCAGGCAUUAAGUUCUCCGAACCUCAGGUCAAAUGUUACAUGCAGCAACUUUUAAGUGGUCUUGAUCACUGUCAUAGCCAUGGUGUUUUGCAUCGUGACAUAAAGGGGUCAAAUCUUCUUGUUGACAACAAUGGCAUCUUGAAAAUAGCUGACUUUGGCUUGGCAAGCAAUUAUGAUCCUCGUCACAGUGUUCCAUUGACAAGCCGUGUUGUGACUCUUUGGUAUCGGCCUCCAGAGCUUUUACUUGGAGCCACUAAAUAUGGUGUUGCUGUGGAUUUAUGGAGCACAGGUUGCAUACUAGGAGAAUUGUAUUCUGGAAAGCCCAUCCUGCCAGGAAAAACAGAGGUUGAACAAUUGCAUAAAAUUUUCAAGCUCUGUGGCUCACCAUCUGAGGAUUAUUGGCUUAAAUUGCACUUACGAAAUUCAACAAUGAUCAAGCCUCCUCAACCUUAUAGAAGAUGCGUGGCAGAGACUUUUAAGGACCUUCCUGCUGCAGCUCUGCAGCUUAUGGACAUUUUACUUUCUGUUGAUCCUGCUGAUCGAGGAACUGCUGCAAUUGCCCUCAAGAAUGAGUUCUUCACCACAAAGCCUUUUCCUUGUGAUCCUUCAAGUUUGCCCAAGUACCCCCCCAGCAAAGAGAUUGAUGCCAAAUUGCGAGAAGAAGAAGCUAGAAAGCAAGGAGCCAGUGGAGGAAGGGGUCAGAAGGAAGACCUUGGCAGGAGAGCACAACCUCCGGCAGUUGCAGGAACAAAUGCUAACUCCGAGUCCAUUGCGUCAGUGCAGAGAAGACAAGGCCAUUCCAACCCAAGGGUCCGAAGUGAAAUGUUCAACCCGCAUAGGGAAAAAACUCUUUCUGGGUUUCUGGUUGAUCCAACCAAACAUUUGCCAAGCGAUAAAGAUGCUAGAAAAGAUUUCACGGAGCACCAGAAUAAGAGGACUUCAAUUUCAGGACCACUAAUCCAUGGACCUGGAUGGGCUAAGUCUGGAAAGGAACUUAAUGAUUCCUUUUUGAGUUCAAAUAGAGCCAACUUGUCGAAAUUAUCUGGUUUAGUAAUGGCUAGGACUGUGUUGUCCGACGACCAACAAGAAAAACCUGGCCCCUCAGGACAAGAAACAAUGAAGCCAGUAGGCGGAUUUCCAGGGUCACUUGAUCAGGAGGAAUCCGCAAAGAAGCGGGAGCGGAUGUAUUACACACAGAGAGUUGCCAGUUCUCGUCAGAUGGAAGAUGAGAAUGGCUCUAUUAAAGAACCAAAUAUGCAUGGUCAUGGCCCCAAGGGGAACAAAAUUUACGUGUCUGGUCCAUUACUUAUUUCUUCAAACAAUAUGGAUCAGAUGCUUAAAGACCAUGACCGCCGGAUCCAAGAACACGCCCGGCGUGCUCGACUGGAGAAGAGCAGACAUGGGACGCAAGUGACAGAAAAUUCAACCUUAUCCUCUAGACAUCGAGCUGGAUAAGCUAUGAAAUUAAACAUUUGUAUUCCUGGUUGUCUUGGAGCGGGAUCCCUGGAACCCGUUGACGUCGUCAUAACACACACACUGAUACAGAUACACAAUACAAAGAGAGAGAGAUCAAGCUACGCCCUUCGCUGUACACCGUCAGAUUUGGCAUGACAGUCGACAAGGACAUGUUCAAAUACAUUCCACCCGAAGCUGUGGGCAUUUGGCAUGACAGUCAACAAGGACAUGUUCAAAUACAUUCCACCCGAAGCUGUGGGCAGCCUCUAUCUACGACCACAACCGUGUUAAACAUAUUUGACCUGUCUUUGUUUAGAGGUCAAGGAUUGUUUACUCUUCCACUUAGUGCCCUUCUGAUUUGUUUGUUCACGACUAAGUCAUAUUAAUAUUUUAUAUUGUU